CUGCCGCCGCCCCUCAGGAACUGGGACGGGGGCAGCCGGGCGCCGAGAGAGCUCUCGCUGCGCCCUGGUGGGCUUCAAAGCGCGCACGAAGUGCUCCUGGGGGCCCGGACCCGCUCUGCGGUAGCGAGGCGAGAACAGGCAUUUGUCUUCGGGUGUCGGCGUUUUAGCGUCUGGUAAAUUAAGGGGACGGCUCUCAUGUGCUCACGGGCUUUCACCGCGCCUUCCCCGGUCUCAUCGUGAGCUGCUUGAAGGCAAAAGCAAAGGGUCACACCUCGCGUAGCGCACCUGAGCCUCGUGAAGGCAAAAAGCGAGCAGAGAUCGUCUCGUGAGACAUAAACUCAUACUUCAGUCUUUAAUGAUGCUACAAAAUAAUGUAGAAUUGCUCAAUAGGGGGUAUUUCAAACGUUUUAAGUUUUCCUUGAGCUUUACAGUUAACAGCUGCACAACUGGCAUAUGAACAGCUGUUCAUCGGCACUGAAGAAUGGACGACUCUAGUGAAGCUACACCAGAAAGCAUAAUUCAUGGAAACUGCCUCGCUCGGUUAGGGUCUUCAGUAUUUGGGCAGAUGUGGGUGCUCUUUUGAGGAAGUAAAGAAUCCACUAGAUCUACAACAGAAAGAUUUUACUGUGAACUUUCCACUGAUUAAGCUGUGCCUUCUCGUUGGCCCUUCUACAGCUGUGGAAAGUGCAGUUAGCUGUGGUUUUAUUUACUGGUUUCUAUAUGGCAGCCCUGUUUCAAGGUGAGAACAAAUCCAUGCAUUUUGUCUGACAAUGAGGAAGCUUGCCUCAACAAUGAAUCUGCAAAGGACUCUAUGUUAGCUGUUUUGACAAGAAUGUCGUAACAAAUUAAAAUAUAGCCUCUAUUGGCAGCUGAGCAGGAAGGAUCACCUCUCGCAUUGUCAUUUAACAGAUUUCAUAACCUAGUGACUAAGAAGAGAAGGAAAUGGCGUUUGAAUUUACCAGAUAUGAUUUGUGUGUUUAGUAAACAAGAACACUUCAACAUAUAAUUUAUUUUAAUUUGUGCAUUAAAAAAAAAAAAAAAAAAAAAAAAAAAAAAGUUACUUGGCUACUAGGACAGGAGGACAGGCAAAUGGAGACAUUUAGACAUUUCAAGACAGCAGCCAGAGGCAAUUUUCAGCUCUAGCAUUCUUUAAUUUAUAGGAAAGAAGAUUGAGAAUCACAUGUUAAGAUUUGUGAAUUUCACAGCCCUGUUCAGAGACUUCAUUCCUUUCCCAGAUCCCCGUACUCCAUUGUCAUAUUAUCCUAACAAACUGAGUUUCCUCCUUACUGAUUCCCAUUUGUAUUUGGUUUACUGAACCUCUUUACUUUUCCUGUUCUUCUAGAUACAGCAUUGCCUCUCCAGCAUUCCAAAGGCAGACUCCAGCUUCAAAGAGUUGCAAGGCUGGUAUCAAAAGAACAAGAUUAAAAUAGAGCUCUUGUUAAGUUCUUGACAUGGCAGGAGAAAGGGCCAACAGCUCCUACAGUAAAAAGAGAGAGAGAAGGAGAGAACAGGGGAACUGUUCACCACAGGGCUGGAGGAUAAAUUAUUUCAAAGUUAAGGUACGGUGCAUUCUCUUGUUUUUGUGAAGUUACUGGUUUCAGAGGAUUUUUCUAUUUACAUUCACAUGGUGUCCAGACUGCUCUUCCUUCUCCAUGACCCGAGUGUCUAGAGCUGUACUUAACAGAAUGUUUAUUUGUAAUAAAUCAAUUUUAGAAUGUGUUUUUAAAAAGCAAUCUCAGUAUGCGAGUUAGUGAAGUGCCAUACAUACUGGGAACUCGUAUAUUCAGUUAUAAAAAAGUAUAACCCACUCAGAAUAUGUUUACAGGUUUUUGUUUGCAUUUCAAGUGAGCUGGGAGCCAAAACAGUGUAGGACCGUUACAGAUACAGAAAAGCACAUACCUUCUCUUGAGUGUACACAGUUAGAAGGCUGCCACUCUCCUAAUUUUGGAGAAGCAAUUCUUAAGCAGCAUGCUUAUGUUCUGCUUACCUAGUAGCUUUAAGGCCCAGGUACUUAAGUCCUCAGGAAUUUCAAGUAUCAAAAAGCAGAAAGGUCAUAGCCAUCAUUUACAAUUCAUGGCCUAUUUUACUCUUCAAUGACUAAGAAGAAAGAUUUUUUUUAUCCCAAGUGUUCUACCUUUCCACUGAAAGUAUGUAUUUCUGAGGAAUAAAAUGUGUGCUGUUUGGAUACAAAGGCUGGAAAAUUUAGAUUUGUAGCAAUGCAAACGUCUAGUCGAG